rnacentral:rRNA from 1 species
AGCAGCCGCGGUAAUUCCAGCUCCAAUAGCGUAUAUUAAAGUUGUUGCAGUUAAAAAGCUCGUAGUUGAAUUUCGGGAUCAGUGGGUCGGUCGUGCCAAUGGUAUGUACUGGCCCUACUGGUUCCUCCUUCUUGAAGAACUGUAAUGCCAUUAAUUUGGUGUUGCAGGGAAACAGGACUGUUACUUUGAAAAAAUUAGAGUGUUUAAAGCAGGCUAACGCCUGAAUACAUUAGCAUGGAAUAAUGAAAUAGGACGACGAUCCUAUUUUGUUGGUUUCUAGGAUUGACGUAAUGAUUAAUAGGGAUAGUUGGGGGCAUUAGUAUUCAAUUGUCAGAGGUGAAAUUCUUGGAUUUAUUGAAGACUGACUACUGCGAAAGCAUUUGCCAAGGAUGUUUUCAUUAAUCAAGAACGAAAGUUAGGGGAUCGAAGACGAUCAGAUACCGUCGUAGUCUUAACCAUAAACUAUGCCGACUAGGGAUCGGAUGAUGUUAAUUUUUUAAUGACUCA